GACAGAGGGUGCAAACGUUGUUCGGAAUUACUGGGCGUAAAGCGCGUGUAGGCGGUUGGGUAAGCCCUCCGUGAAAUCUCCGGGCCUAACCCGGAAAGUGCGGAGGGGACUGCUCGGCUAGAGGAUGGGAGAGGAGCGCGGAAUUCCGGGUGUAGCGGUGAAAUGCGUAGAUAUCCGGAGGAACACCGGUGGCGAAGGCGGCUUCCUGGACCGACACUGACGCUGAGGCGCGAAAGCUAGGGGAGCAAACGGG
rnacentral:rRNA from 1 species